ACCCAUCAUUUUUGGCUGGCUUGUGUACAACUCACAGCCCAUACUUGUGAUAAUACAGAUAUGUAUGUUACCUUUGAACGUUUGUGUGUUUUCAUAGAAAGGAAACCAGACACCAAUGAAAACAGAUGGCCCAGGUGAUCCAGCCUCUCAGAAUUCUGCAUCUAGGACAGCUUCAAGGAUGCUGGCUGAGAUGGCCCAGCCUCACAGACUAUUGUAGCCAUGACUGCAAAGCCUUGUGCUUUUGUAUUGCACAGAGACUGGACAGCAAAUGUUAUAGCAAGUUUUCUAAGGAAUUGACCAUUAUUCCAAUAUUCUUGGGUUCACUAAAAAGAUACCUUUGCCCACAGACAACAAGAAGCAAUCUAGACAACACAACACUCACAUUCCCAAGAGGAGAUUUUCCAUCAUCUCCAAAAUUAUGAAAAUUAGAGUAUGCAAGAAAGGGGCCAUAUGUAAAGCAGAAAACUUUUGGGAAGAUACUGUUAGAAUUCUUAGCCACUUCUCCAGCCACAUGACUGAGCAUGUGCUGUCCAGUAGCCAGAUCCAGCCAGAGGAAGUCUGUAGUGGGUAGCUGUUCCAGCUUUGACCUUGAAGCACUGCCCCUAGUCAGGCAGCAGGUAACUGCUACACCUAUCUAUGACCUGCUCCUGGGGCAUGGCCUCUUUGGACCUUUAAGACCUGAAAGGUGUACAUGCUUGCUCUCUUGACUACCUUGUGAUCCUAGAUGCUGGAUCGCAGACCAAGUCAGAGUUCUCCAGAGAACUGCAAUGGACUGCACCUCACCUCUCCUGGAUCCUGUAACCAAUCCCUUUGCUGGUUGUAAGUUUACCCAAAAUAAACCUCUUUGACUAUCAGAUCAA